rnacentral:rRNA from 1 species
UGGGGAAUCUUAGACAAUGGGGGAAACCCUGAUCUAGCCAUGCCGCGUGAGUGAUGAAGGCCCUAGGGUCGUAAAGCUCUUUCGCCAGGGAUGAUAAUGACAGUACCUGGUAAAGAAACCCCGGCUAACUCCGUGCCAGCAGCCGCGGUAAUACGGAGGGGGUUAGCGUUGUUCGGAAUUACUGGGCGUAAAGCGCACGUAGGCGGACUAUUAAGUGAGGGGUGAAAUCCCGGGGCUCAACCCCGGAACUGCCUCUCAUACUGGUAGUCUUGAGUUCGAGAGAGGUGAGUGGAAUUCCGAGUGUAGAGGUGAAAUUCGUAGAUAUUCGGAGGAACACCAGUGGCGAAGGCGGCUCACUGGCUCGAUACUGACGCUGAGGUGCGAAAGUGUGGGGAGCAAACAGGAUUAGAUACCCCCGUAGUCC